rnacentral:rRNA from 1 species
UCUUGAUGAACGCUAGCGACAGGCUUAACACAUGCAGGUCGAGGGGCAGCACAGGUAGCAAUACCGGGUGGCGACCGGCGCACGGGUGAGUAACGCGUAUGCAACUUACCUAUCAGAGGGGGAUAACCCGGCGAAAGUCGGACUAAUACCGCAUGAAGCAGGGGCCCCGCAUGGGGAUAUUUGCUAAAGAUUCAUCGCUGAUAGAUAGGCAUGCGUUCCAUUAGGCAGUUGGCGGGGUAACGGCCCACCAAACCGACGAUGGAUAGGGGUUCUGAGAGGAAGGUCCCCCACAUUGGUACUGAGACACGGACCAAACUCCUACGGGAGGCAGCAGUGAGGAAUAUUGGUCAAUGGCCGAGAGGCUGAACCAGCCAAGUCGCGUGAGGGAUGAAGGUUCUAUGGAUCGUAAACCUCUUUUAUAAGGGAAUAAAGUGCGGGACGUGUCCCGUUUUGUAUGUACCUUAUGAAUAAGGAUCGGCUAACUCCGUGCCAGCAGCCGCGGUAAUACGGAGGAUCCGAGCGUUAUCCGGAUUUAUUGGGUUUAAAGGGUGCGUAGGCGGCCUUUUAAGUCAGCGGUGAAAGUCUGUGGCUCAACCAUAGAAUUGCCGUUGAAACUGGGGGGCUUGAGUAUGUUUGAGGCAGGCGGAAUGCGUGGUGUAGCGGUGAAAUGCAUAGAUAUCACGCAGAACCCCGAUUGCGAAGGCAGCCUGCCAAGCCAUUACUGACGCUGAUGCACGAAAGCGUGGGGAUCAAACAGGAUUAGAUACCCUGGUAGUCCACGCAGUAAACGAUGAUCACUAGCUGUUUGCGAUACACUGUAAGCGGCACAGCGAAAGCGUUAAGUGAUCCACCUGGGGAGUACGCCGGCAACGGUGAAACUCAAAGGAAUUGACGGGGGCCCGCACAAGCGGAGGAACAUGUGGUUUAAUUCGAUGAUACGCGAGGAACCUUACCCGGGUUUGAACGCAUUCGGACCGAGGUGGAAACACCUUUUCUAGCAAUAGCCGUUUGCGAGGUGCUGCAUGGUUGUCGUCAGCUCGUGCCGUGAGGUGUCGGCUUAAGUGCCAUAACGAGCGCAACCCUUGCCACUAGUUACUAACAGGUAAAGCUGAGGACUCUGGUGGGACUGCCAGCGUAAGCUGCGAGGAAGGCGGGGAUGACGUCAAAUCAGCACGGCCCUUACAUCCGGGGCGACACACGUGUUACAAUGGCGUGGACAAAGGGAGGCCACCUGGCGACAGGGAGCGAAUCCCCAAACCACGUCUCAGUUCGGAUCGGAGUCUGCAACCCGACUCCGUGAAGCUGGAUUCGCUAGUAAUCGCGCAUCAGCCAUGGCGCGGUGAAUACGUUCCCGGGCCUUGUACACACCGCCCGUCAAGCCAUGGGAGCCGGGGGUACCUGAAGUCCGUAACCGCGAGGAUCGGCCUAGGGUA